GACGAACCGUGCAAACGUUGUUCGGAAUCACUGGGCUUAAAGGGCGCGUAGGCGGCUUGGCAAGUGGAUGGUGAAAUCCCUCGGCUUAACCGAGGAACUGCCGUCCAAACUGCUUUGCUUGAGACCGGGAGAGGUGAGUGGAAUUCCCAGUGUAGCGGUGAAAUGCGUAGAUAUUGGGAAGAACACCGGUGGCGAAGGCGGCGCUCUGGACCGAGACUGACGCUGAGGCGCGAAAGCGUGGGGAGCAAACAGG
rnacentral:rRNA from 1 species